UUUGACCUCAAAUCAGGUAGGACUACCCGCUGAACUUAAGCAUAUCAAUAAGCGGAGGAAAAGAAACUAACAAGGAUUCCCCUAGUAACUGCGAGUGAAGCGGGAAAAGCUCAAAUUUAAAAUCUGAUAGUCUUUGGCUGUCCGAGUUGUAAUCUAGAGAA
rnacentral:rRNA from 1 species